AGGGAAUCUUCCGCAAUGGACGAAAGUCUGACGGAGCAACGCCGCGUGAGUGAUGAAGGCCUUCGGGUCGUAAAACUCUGUUGUUAGGGAAGAACAAGUACCGGAGUAACUGCCGGUACCUUGACGGUACCUAACCAGAAAGCCACGGCUAACUACGUGCCAGCAGCCGCGGUAAUACGUAGGUGGCAAGCGUUGUCCGGAAUUAUUGGGCGUAAAGCGCGCGCAGGCGGUCCUUUAAGUAGGAUGUGAAAGCCCACGGCUCAACCGUGGAGGGUCAUUGGAAACUGGGGGACUUGAGUGCAGAAGAGGAAAGCGGAAUUCCACGUGUAGCGGUGAAAUGCGUAGAGAUGUGGAGGAACACCAGUGGCGAAGGCGGCUUUCUGGUCUGUAACUGACGCUGAGGCGCGAAAGCGUGGGGAGCAAAC
rnacentral:rRNA from 1 species